GAGGGUGUAGCUCAGUGGUAGAGCGUGUGCUUAGCAUGCAGGAUGUCCUGGGUUCAGUCCCCAGUAUCUCCA
rnacentral:tRNA from 1 species